CCAGCCAGCUCCAAGCCAGAGCCAUAGCUGGCCAAGGCUGAGUCAAUUAGGAAUGGUGGUGACACCUCGGGGAUAAUGUGUUUAAGGGGGAGGCAGAAAGGAAGGGUCUGGAAAUGUGGAACAGCAGCUGAAGGAGAGGAAUGAGAACAUGUGAGAGAAACACUGGCAUAGAGGGUGAGGAGAAGGUGUUCCAGGUGCCAAAGCUGAGGCUCCCCUGGAACCCACGGUGCAGAGCAUGGGGGUCCAGAGGGGAGCAGAGAUCCACCUGCAGCCUGUGGAGCACCCCACCGGAGCAGUGGGUGACUGAAGGAGACUGUGGCAGCAUGGAAAGCCCACACUGGAGCAGGCCCCUGGCAGGACCUGUGGCCCCACGGUGAGAGCAGCUUUGCUGGCAGGACUUGUGACCCUACAGGGGAGCAGCCUGUUCCUGAAGGAUUGCACCCCAGGGAAGGGACCCACUCUGCAGCCUAAGGGAAGGACUCACAUUGAGCAGUCUGUGGAGCAUUCUGCCUCCCAUGGGACAGACCCCAUGCUGAAAAAGGAGUAGUGUGAGCAGUUCUGUCUCUGGAGAGGAAGGAGAGGCUUAGACGACCUGUGAUGAACUGACUGCAACCCCCAUUCCCUGUCCCCCUGCACUGCUGGGAGGGAGGAGGGAGAGAAAACUGGGCGUGAAGUUGAGCCCAGAAAAGUGAGGGUGUGGGAAGUUAUUUUAAGAUUUAUUUCUCAUUAUCCUAUUUAGAAUUCAAUUUGCAAUGUUACAUUUAUUUCCCCAAGUCAAGUCUGUUCUGCCCAUGAUGGCGAUCAGUGAGUGAUUUCUCCCUGUCCUUAUCUCAACCUGUGAGCCUUUUGUCAUAUUUUCACACCCCUGUACAGGUGAAGAGGAGAGUGAUAGGGCAGCUUUGGUGGGCACCUGGUCUCCAAUCAAGGUUAACCAACCACAGUGAGCAUUUACUGAAAGCAGAAUGUGAGACCAGGAAUCAAGGAGUCCAUCACAGGACCUGGAGGAAAGCACUCUCACUCCUUUCACCAAACUCAAUCCCUCUUUCUGUUUAGUAGUGGUAUCUGGUUCCAGUCUUGAUUUUUUUUUUACCUUUUGUCCCCACACAUCCUGCUCAGUCAGCAGGUGGAUGGGAUGGCUGAUUUAGGACGUGGAUGAGACAGUUCCUUGCUGUCAACUGAGGCACUGUGCCCUGCCCAGCAGAGAGCAACUGGAAUGAAGAACUGCAGAAAGAAUCUCUUGAAACAACUCUGGUCAGACUGCAUUUAGUCACUCUGUGGGAUAUGGGGCAUUCAGGUAAAAGCUCUGAGGGAAUGCAGCUUGCUCAAACUAGUAACACUUUGCAGCUCUGAGUCUCAUAAAAGCCUAGUGUAGAAGAAAUCAGGGGACAUUUUAGCUGCUCAAAAGAAAAAAUAUUCCUACUGCUUGUUUUUUUGAAAAUAUUUAUAAACUGGUGCAGAAACUAAGGAGAAGAGUGAAAAACAUGUUAGUGCAGAAGCCAUGUCUUUUUCUCCUAUUUUUCCCACCUCUAUUUUAAGUCCUUAUCCAAAAUAUGAAGGCAAGAAGGCAUUUCAGCAGAAGGGUUUCCAGUUCUGGAAUAAGGACAAAACAAAGUGUUUUCUUCUACCCUGUCUUAGGAACAGAUCAGAUAUUUUUGCUGAAGGUUUUGAUGUGACACAAACAUAAAUCAGCCUGGCAGCAAGAAAUUGAUGGGGGAAAAAAGAGGAAAAGUUUCAUAGUAGCAAAGGGAAGAGGAAAGUGGUGUAUAGCAGGAAGUGCUGAUCAACUUUAGCAUUAGGAAGUACUGUUAACCCCUUCUACAUUUGUAGAACAUACAUCAAAUGUGACAUUAGCAUGAAUAACACACAAAGGUUCAUCUACUUAACUCAUUGCUUUGGGAAUUGAAUUUAGAUCUUGGCUCUGCAAAGUUUUGGCUAAGCCUUGAUUCCGGCACAGAACUCUGACUCAAUGAGGCUGUGGAGACCUGUCUGCCCAAACCGCCUACAGGAUGAAAACCCCAUCAAAGGCAACAUGUUCCAGGUGGAAGGAGGACAUUUCAGACUGAACUUCUAUUGUUGAGCAAAUCUAUCCCUCAAAAGGAACCUUGAAAAGUCAAGAGUCAAGAGGGAACUCACUACUACAUGUCAUAACUCACACUCUAGGAAACUAAAACCUGGGCCAAGGUAGGGAUAUGUGAACUGGGGGAAAAGAUCUAUGACUAACUGACAGAAAACACUCAAAAGCUAGCUCACAGGGGCCCAGGCUUUUGUCACAGUGACUGACAUUUUGCCUACUUGGAAGGAAAUUAAUUAGAGGAGAAUGAAGAGCAUAUGUUGUCAAGUGGGUGUAAAUCAAACUAAGCAAACAAAGGAGUACAGGGAGAACUCAGGCUGACAUCAAGGCUGAGAGAGAAGAAAAGGCUGGAAGCAGCAACAGCCACAGAGAUGGGCAAAUUUCCUCCAAAUCUGUUUAUAUUUCCACAUGUUGAUGAAAGGCCAGGAGAAAGGUAGCAGCAACCAAGGUACCCAAGAAGGGAAAUUUCUAGCACAAUACUCACAAGCUGGUUGCAGUGUUCAGGAUUACUGACCUGGUCCUGACUGGUGCUGCUUGUGCAGACACGUACCAUCAUACAUUCUAAGUCCUGUGAGUACCUGUGCCUACAAAAGCAGUCUUGCUUUUGUACCAAGGAAAAGCACACAAGGCCACGUUAAAAGCUGUUCUGAAUUCAGCUUAUUCUUCAGUUACUCCAUAAAGCCCAAAGUGGUUUUUCUCAUUGUUCUUUAUAGCCUUCCCAGAUCUUCUGGCCACAAACACAUAAUUUAUUUAAGCCACGCAUAAACAACCGUGAU